UGUUGACAUUUCGGUUACUGUUGUCCGUUCUUCGCCUCGGGUGAUUCGCCGAGCUGCUGUCGUAUUUGGGCGAAUAUGUUCAUCAUACCCUACUUCGUUGCUAGCCAUAUUAAUAAAUGACAGUGAGCCUCUAUCAGAAUGCCUGAUGUGUCCCUAAAACAAGUGAAAAGUGUAACUGAACCUACUGUGAAAAGUGACCACAUGAAUGGCCUCGUGAGUGGCAGCAUGUGAUUGGAGGGCUCUGGUGUAUACAUACCAUGAAAUCCUAAUAUGAGGCUAUCCACAAACCCCAGUUAUAAACAACAGAAAAUCACUUCAGUGUUUACUCUUGACUGGUGCAGAGCUCGCUGGACUUAGAAAAUAUCUAAUUUCUCCACACACGCGAGUGCUAUUACAGACAUGUGCCCCCCAAAUUUUUUUACAUUUAUGGCAAGGUCACUGAACCCUUCUCCAUGGGAUGUGAGUUUUGUGCUUAUAUGUAACGCAGACGUGAUAUCCAGAUUAACUGAAAGCGCCAAGAACUCUGUGGCAGAACUCACUGGAAGCUUUGGGAAGCAAUCUUGGGUUCACUUUAGCAAGAAGCAACUGGUAUUACUGGGUAUACUAGCAUGUACCUGUGCUGUUGCUGUGAUUGUGGGUGUCUCUGUUGGUUUGGUUCAAGACAGUGCCACGGAGCAAUCAAGCAAUGUCAAGCUUGCAGGUACUUCAAAUUCACAUUUGUUUGAGUCAUGGGAUGACAAUACUGAGGACAGUGAAUACGUGUCAACUGAACCUCCACCAUCACCAAGCGAGCUUGGUGAAUUUGACUCUGCAGCUGUCAGUGCAGAUGGGCAACCAUGUGCCCAGAUAGCCAUUGAAAUUUUGCGGAAGAAUGGAAGUGCUGCCGAUGCUGCAAUUGCUGGGCUGUUCUGUGUUGGUGUGAUCAACACGCAAUCAAUGGGCCUUGGUGGUGGUUUCCUUUUAACGUAUUAUGAGAGGUCAUCUGGCAAGGCAUACACUCUUGAUGCCAGAGAGACUGCACCAGCAGCAGCCCAUGAAGAUAUGUACCAUGGAGAUGGAGACUUAAUGGAGAAAGGAAGAAAUAGUUGGUGGAAGGAUAAGAAAGCAAGUUUAAAGGGUGGUUUAGCUGUGGCUGUCCCAGGAGAACUGCGGGGCUACAGAGAAUUAUAUACAAGAUUUGGAGGCCGACUUCCUUGGAGUGAUCUCUUAGAGCCCACCAUAAAUUUGUGUGAAGAGGGACACCUCGUCAACUGGCACAUGGCCAGGGCACUCAAGUUCAACCAAAUUGACAUACUGAAUGAGCCAAGCAUGAGUGUCUUCAUCAACCCUGAAACUGGUGAUGUAUACAAAGAAAAUGAUACUUUGAAGAGGCCACAGCUUGCUAAGACUUUGAGAAUUUUACAAGAAGACCCAGAUGGCUUGUACACUGGCCAGUUAGCUAAUAAACUGGCAGAUGACAUUCAAGAAUUUGGAGGCAUCAUUACUUCGGAAGACCUACAAAACUACAAGCCAGAAUGGAGAGAAGCCAUGAAUGUAAGUCUGCAAAAUGGAAACAUGAGGAUGUUUUCAAUAAUGCCUCCUGGAUCUGGCCUCAUCCUGGGAUUCAUCCUUAACAUUCUCGAUGAAUACGGCUUCACACCAGACAGUAUGGAUGAAGGACAUAGAAUUCUUACUCACCACAGAAUCACAGAAGCUAUGAAGUGGGCAUAUGCCAAGCGGACUGAAUUAGGAGACUCAAAUUUUGUGGAUGUAACAGAGUUAACCAAGAACCUGACUUCUGAUGCUUUUGCCAAGAACAUUCGAAGUCAGAUCACUGACAAUCAAACCUUUCAAGAUCCAGAACAUUAUGGUGCUGUGACAGCCAUCAAGGAAGACCAUGGAACUGCUCAUUUCUCCCUCUUGGCCCCUGAUGGUGAUGCAGUGUCUGUCACCAGCACCAUCAAUUUAUAUUUUGGUGCUGGGAUACGAUCAAAGCAGACUGGCAUUGUCCUCAAUGAUGAGAUGGAUGACUUCUCAGCUCCAAACAUAACUAAUUAUUUUGGUUUGCCACCAUCACCAGCCAACUUCAUCAGGCCAGGAAAACGUCCUUUGUCAUCUAUGUGCCCAGCAGUAUUUGUUGACUCUGAAGGUGAUGUACGGCUAGUCAUUGGUGCAGCUGGAGGAACAAAGAUCUCAUCAGGUGUGGCUUGGGCCUCAUUGAACAACCUAUGGCUGGGUGAUGACAUCAAGGAAGCCAUUGAUGCCCGCAGAAUCCAUCACCAGCUCUUCCCAAUGACACUGAGCUAUGAAGAUGGAAUAGUAACUUCACAGAGAGGAGAAUGUAUCAGCAGUGUGCUUGACGUGCUGGCAGGUCUUAUCCAAAGAUGGGUGAGACAGGACGACAUCGGUUACGGUGGGUGGCUGUGGUGCACGCCUACUUGUCCCUCAGGAGGCACCUCCCCUGCCUUACUGGCCGCCGUCGCCACCCACUUGUCACGCAGCGCGGCGGACCGUUGCAGGAUGAUAAAAGAAACGGCGGCGCCGCUUUUUGUUACACUGGUGGAGGUACGUCUCCUUGUCGCCCUGCUUUUCGCUUACGACGGCCGGCGAGUAUGGUAAAGGCGGCGUUGUUGUUGCUUUUAGUUGAAGUGAUGGCGGGCCUGGUGCCUGCCCGGGGGAUGUGGCCCACCACCAGCUACUACAUUGACUAUGUGGUGGCUAAGAAUUGCUUCGGGGAGGACGCAGCCCUGGAAAUGGAGCGAAUAGGAAUGGAAGUGGGGAAGGAGUGCUGGAUGAAGGAAUGGGAGGACAACUUCGGCAUGACAUCAGGACGCAGCGGCAGGACGAAACGGAACAUCCUCAAGAUGCCAAACCCUGCAUCUACGAAUCUACUGGUGUGCAAUCUGCGAGCCUUGAACGUGUUGACGCCAAAGUACGAAAUGAACUACCCGUUGGUAGACGCCUGGAUCAGCACCAACGUGAGUGACGCUGGCGUCAGAGAAAAGCUCCUCAGGCUGUCGAAAGAGUGCCAGCCUCUGCCCAUCCCUUUGGCUCCCUUGGAGACUGUGGAGAGGAUGGAGGACGUGGAGUCUAUCAUGAAGGGAGUGAGGAAAUUCCAUAUCUACAUGGACUGCAUGAAUCUGGGUGGCACUGACAUCUGCAUGAACAAGGAGAUGGAGCGUGUGAAAGAGAAGUGGGAUAACAUGAACUAUCCCUGAAGACCAUCUGUAUGGAACUAGUUUGUAACUUCCCUCGUUGGGUUUUCUUGCUUAACGAUGCAAAUUAAAGACAAUCAAACUGUAAAAA